UAGGGAAUCUUCGGCAAUGGGGGGAACCCUGACCGAGCAACGCCGCGUGAGUGUAGAAGGUUUUCGGAUCGUAAAGCUCUGUUGUUAAGGAAGAACGAGUGUGAGAAUGGAAAGUUCAUGCUGUGACGGUACUUAACCAGAAAGGGACGGCUAACUACGUGCCAGCAGCCGCGGUAAUACGUAGGUCCCGAGCGUUGUCCGGAUUUAUUGGGCGUAAAGCGAGCGCAGGCGGUUAGAAAAGUCUGAAGUGAAAGGCAGUGGCUCAACCAUUGUAGGCUUUGGAAACUGUUUAACUUGAGUGCAGAAGGGGAGAGUGGAAUUCCAUGUGUAGCGGUGAAAUGCGUAGAUAUAUGGAGGAACACCGGUGGCGAAAGCGGCUCUCUGGUCUGUAACUGACGCUGAGGCUCGAAAGCGUGGGGAGCGAACAGG
rnacentral:rRNA from 1 species